rnacentral:rRNA from 1 species
GACGAACGCUGGCGGCGUGCUUAACACAUGCAAGUCGAACGGUUAAGCGCCUUCCUUUUUGGUGGGUGUGGAUGAGUGGCGAACGGGUGAGUAACACGUGAGUAACCUGCCCCCUUCUUCUGGAUAACCGCAUGAAAGUGUGGCUAAUACGGGAUAUUCUGGGUCUGUCGCAUGAUGGGUCUGGGAAAGAUAUUGUUUCGGUGGGGGAUGGGCUCGCGGCCUAUCAGCUUGUUGGUGGGGUGAUGGCCUACCAAGGCGGUGACGGGUAGCCGGCCUGAGAGGGUGGACGGUAACGAUGCGAUGAAGACCCGGCGCGGAGUCCGAGGGGAAGCAGCAGUGUGUAAUAUGGAACAAUGGGAGGAAGCCUGAUGCAGCGACGCCGCGGGAGGGAUGGGGGCGUGCGGGUUGUGAACCUCUUUCGAAAGUGAAGCAGGCCUGACUUGUGUGUGGGGGGGUUGACGGUAGCUGGAUAAGAAGCGCCGGCUAACUACGUG